rnacentral:tRNA from 1 species
GCGAGCGUGCUGGAAUCGGCAGACAGGCAUGUUUGAGGGGCAUGUGUAUGUAUGUACGUAUGGGUUCAAGUCCCAUCGCUCGCACCA